GUCUUCUUGAUAAUAUUUUGAAGUCUUACCUGCUCACUGAUUAAUUUAAAGGGCCGCGGUAUUAUGACCGUGCAAAGGUAGCAUAAUCAUUAGUUUCUUAAUUGGGGACUGGAAUGAAUGGUUUGACGAGAAAUUGACUGUCUCUUAAUAAUUUUUAGAAUUUAACUUUUAAGUUAAAAGGCUUAAAUAUUUCUUGAGGACGAGAAGACCCUAUAGAGCUUUACAUUUAUAAAUUAAUUUUUAUUAUAUAGUUUAUUUUUUAAUGUUAAUUUUUAUUGUUUUGUUGGGGUGACAUGAAGAAUAAUUAAACUCUUCAUUAUAAAAUCAUUAAUUUAUGUUUAUUUGAUCCAUAAUUUGUGAUUAUAAGAUUAAGUUACCUUAGGGAUAACAGCGUAAUCAUUUUUUAGAGUUCUUAUCGGUAAAAUGGAUUGCGACCUCGAUGUUGGAUUAAGAUUAAUUAUGGGUGUAGUAGCUCAAUAAUUAGGUCUGUUCGACCUUUAAAUUCUU
rnacentral:rRNA from 1 species